UACGGAGGGUGCAAGCGUUAUCCGGAUUCACUGGGUUUAAAGGGUGCGUAGGUGGGCAGGUAAGUCCGUGGUGAAAUCUCUGAGCUUAACUCAGAAACUGCCGUGGAUACUAUUUGUCUUGAAUAUUGUGGAGGUGAGCGGAAUAUGUCAUGUAGCGGUGAAAUGCUUAGAUAUGACAUAGAACACCAAUUGCGAAGGCAGCUCACUACACAAUUAUUGACGCUAAGGCACGAAAGCGUGGGGAUCAAACAGG
rnacentral:rRNA from 1 species